UACGAAGGGUGCAAGCGUUAAUCGGAAUUACUGGGCGUAAAGCGCGCGUAGGUGGUUCGUUAAGUUAGGGUGAAAUCCCGGGGCUCAACCUCGGAACUGCCUUUGAUACUGGCAAUCUUGAGUCCGGAAGAGGUGAGUGGAAUUCCUAGUGUAGAGGUGAAAUUCGUAGAUAUUAGGAAGAACACCAGUGGCGAAGGCGGCUCACUGGUCCGGAACUGACGCUGAGGUGCGAAAGCGUGGGGAGCAAACAGGAUUAGAUACCCCUGUAGUCCCUGAGCGGG
rnacentral:rRNA from 1 species